GCGUCCAUAGCUCAACGGAUAGAGCAUCAGACUUCGGAUCUGAGGGUUGGGGGUUCGAAUCCUCCUGGGCGCGCCA
rnacentral:tRNA from 1 species